rnacentral:piRNA from 1 species
AGCCACAAAAAGAAUUGUAUGGUUGGG